rnacentral:lncRNA from 1 species
GGGGAGGGUGUGGUCGAGAUGCAGUUGUAUCAUUAAGUAAGGAAUUUUCGUUUAUUGUUUAUUUUUUAGGUUUUCUGAGAAUGCAUCAUGUAAAGAAGGACUUGAAGGAACAGGGGAGAUUGUGGGAGUCUGUAAGAGAGCUCGUUCUAGGCAGGAAGCAGAAGGAGCCGAGGGAGACGUUUACCUGACUGCUGCAGGGGUAGUAUAUUGGCUGGCACAGCGGCAUAGGAUGAAUGGAGAAGAGAUUCGCAUAAACCCAUGGAGCAAACUAACAAUGUGUGCGAUUUUCGGUGGUGUCGGGUUCCUUAUGAUGCUCUUGGCAGGAUGUGAGCCACCAAUGAAGAAGACAAGGAUGUGGGUGGUGGCUCGAGCCAGAGUUCCCAUCAGCGGUGGAAGUCACCCUGGUGUACCCUGGUGUCCCAGUCCUCACCGUUAUUAACUCCACUGGUUGUAGCCGUCACAUCUUUGGCAUUGGAACUGAAGCACCGAAGAUAAUUUCUACUUUCUCCACCGUCUAACUUUCAGUUUUAAGGGGAACUUGUCAUAUGUAAAAAAAAACAAAAAAUUGUAAAUGUUUCUUUGUGGGCAUCUUUUUACAUUUGUUUCUUUCUUCCUGGAAUCAUAUUUAGUGGCCUUAUGAUAAGCAAGAAGAGGUGAUGUUUCCAAAGAUUAUAAUUAUAGAAAAAACGGAGUGUUGGCACAGGCCUGUAAUCUGAGCAGUUGGAAGGUUUGAAGUUCAAGGUCUUCUUCAGCUUCGCAGUGAGUCAGGUCAGGGGCUAGGCUGCCAUACUUGAGACCCUGUCCCACAUUUAGAAAAGGAAAACUCAAAGAAAUAGAAAUAUCCAAAUCUCCCAUUUUUCCCAAGGGGCAGAUGGUAGAUUUCCUUAGCAGAACAUACACCUUCCCAGAGAGAACAAGAUUCAAUGAACGUGUAAAUAGUAUCUUGUUUUCUUUCUUUCUUUACUAAAAUGAUACACCCAGCACAUUUUCAGUUUGGUAACUUUCAUUUUGGUUUUUAGUUAAUGUUGUUUUAUUAGCUUCUAUCCCUUGCACCGCAUUGAGAUCCAUCACACUGUUAUCCAAAUUUCUGCUGUACUGGGAACAUCCUGAUCACUACCCCUAACGCCCCUGACCAUCUUCACUUGGCUAAUUUCUAAAUUGGUAACUAAUUACAUGCAGAUAAUUAAAGAAUAAGCAAGAGUUCCCACCGUUAGGUAAAGUUGGGGGCAUGAUGUUAAGAAAGAGAAAGCCAAUUUCAAAUCUCGAUUGUUUGGAACAAAAUUUCAAAGUUAAAAGUAUCACGAGGCAAAAAUUCCAAGUAUUAGAAUUAUACUCAGUAGUUUCAUUUCCCUUGUGAAAUUUUAUUUUAAGAGAAUAAAAUGUGGCCCAUAAAGGUAUCUGAUCUCUCAGUGUGCCUUAUGCUUCAUAUAAAUCAAAUCCAGAAAAUAAGUGGGGCAUAUGUAAAAUGAAACCUUAAACAUACCUGGGACCAUCUUUUGCGAGGCACCGAUUGCUGCGUUAUCAAUUUUUUCUUGGAGCGUUUAUUAAAGAAUAUCUUUUGUUUUAAUUUGCCCCACACAAAGCAGCUUAGAGACAUUUACAGAGACGAAGAGGGAGCUUCAAUUAACCUUGGCUGCCGAGAUAUUUUAUGUGCAUGUAUUAUGCUACAACAGGGUAAUUACCUAAUACCUUUUGUGAAGGAAUUCUAAUAAAGAAUGA